GCGGGCCUGGAUCUGUGGACCGGCUCCUAAUCCUCUUGUUUUCGGAACCGUCAGCAGAUGCGGCUUCCUUUACCUGAAUAAUCCUUUAAAGGAGUAAUAAUUUUUAAAAAGGAGCUCGACCUCAGCCAAAGAGGACGGCGCACGAGAUUAGGGCUUGUAGAUCCACUGCCUUUGGUUGGGCCGGCUGAAUCGCUGGGGACUGCGGCCAGUCUCUUAAAAAGGAGAACAAAAAGCCGAAGACCUUGUGUGGCCGCCGGGACAAAGCACUUUGGGUUCGGCGAGAAGGGACGCGCAGGAGCGCUGAACCCAGAACACGCGUGGCCGCUGCGGAAGGGCGUCCGCCGGGCGUGCGGAACGCUGAGGGGACUCUCAUCCUCUGUCUCGCCCCCUUUUUUUGACCCGGGGAUCCAGCCGCAUUAUACAUGAGUGACCUUUUAAAUCUACGUCCACCCUUUACCUGCGAGAGGACUGCAGCAGGCGAGUUCCGGAAGGCUGAAUCCCCAGGUCCCAGCCCCGGACCGCGGCAACUCGCCCCUGCGGCACGCCCGGCCCGGCUGCGCCCCCACUCAGCGAUGGAGGUAAAGAGGCGGCGGCCGCGCGCCGUGCCCCGGCUGCCGCUGCCGAGCCCCCGCUGCUCUCCUUGUCCUUCGCUCUCUUCUUCCUCCUCCUAGCCCCCUUCAGUUUCCUGGGCAAAGCAGAGGGCGACAUGGGUGGGUGGGUUUGCUGCGCUGGGGCGAGGUGGGGUCGAUGUUGUUUU
rnacentral:lncRNA from 1 species